rnacentral:rRNA from 1 species
UCCAAUCGAACCCGGAGAUAGCUGGUUCUCCCCGAAAUAGCUUUAGGGCUAGCGUCGAGAGAAGAGUUGCGUGAAGGUAGAGCACUGAAUAUGUGAUGGCCCCAUCUCGGGGUACUGAGCAUAAUCAAACUGCGAAUGUCACGCCAACAUGCUCGGCAGUCAGACAGCGGGUGAUAAGGUCCGUUGUCAAGAGGGAAACAGCCCAGACCAUCAGCUAAGGUCCCAAAAUGUAUGCUAAGUGGAAAAGGAUGUGGAGAUGUACAGACAACUAGGAGGUUGGCUCAGAAGCAGCCAUCCUUUAAAGAGUGCGUAACAGCUCACUAGUCGAAUGACUCUGCGCCGAUAAUUUACCGGGGCUAAGCAUACUACCGAAGCUAUGGAUCCCAAGGGAUGGUAGGGGAGCGUUCCAUGAACGGAGAAGUACGACCGAAAGGACGUGUGGAGAUCAUGGAAGAGAGAAUGCCGGUGUGAGUAGCGGAACGUGGGUGAGAAUCCCACGCACCGAAAACCCAAGGUUUCCAGAGGAAGGUUCGUCCGCUCUGGGUAAGUCGGGACCUAAGGCGAGGCCGAAAGGCGUAGUCGAUGGACAACAGGUAGAGAUUCCUGUACCCGUAUAUAUGUGAAGGAAUGACGGAGAGAGGAAGCUGCAGCCAGCGGCUGGAAGAGCUGGUGCAAGCGAGAUAUCGGGAUGGCAGGCAAAUCCACCAUCCGAAACGAGAAGGCGUGAAGCGUACGGAAAGCUACGGCGAGUACGGAAGGCAGUGGAGGAACUUCCAAGAAAAGUUUCUAACGUUAAGUAUAUAUGGCCCGUACCGAAAAUGGACACACAUGGGUGAGGAGAGAAUCCUAAGGUGAGCGAGAGAACUAUAGCUAAGGAACUCUGCAAAAUGACUCCGUAACUUAGGGAGAAGGAGUGCUCAUAGAGAUAUGAGCCGCAGUGAAACGGCCCAAGCGACUGUUUACCAAAAACACAGCUCUCUGCUAAGCCGCAAGGCGAAGUAUAGGGGGUGACGCCUGCCCGGUGCUGGAAGGUUAAGGGGAGGGGUUAACGCAAGUGAAGCCCUGAACUGAAGCCCCAGUAAACGGCGGCCGUAACUAUAACGGUCCUAAGGUAGCGAAAUUCCUUGUCAGGUAAGUUCUGACCCGCACGAAAGGCGUAACGAUUUGGGCGCUGUCUCAGCUGUAGACUCGGUGAAGUCUUAGUACCUGUGAAGAUGCAGGUUACCCGCGACUAGACGGAAAGACCCCAUGGAGCUUCACUGCAGGUUGAUAUUGGGAUUUGAUGCAGCAUGUACAGGAUAGGUAGGAGGCAAAGAGAUGGAUACGCCAGUAUUCAAGGAGCCGCUGUUGGGAUACUACCCCUGUUGUAUUGGAUUUCUAACCGGACGACGUAGAGCCGUUGACGGGACAGUGUCAGUCGGGCAGUUUGACUGGGGCGGUCGCCUCCCAAAGAGUAACGGAGGCGCCCAAAGAUACCCUCAGCUUGGAUGGAAACCAAGCGCAGAGUGCAAAGGCAAAAGGGUGUUUGACUGCGAGACCUACAAGUCGAGCAGGGACGAAAGUCGGGCUUAGUGAUCCGGCGGUGCUGAAUGGAAAGGCCGUCGCUCAACGGAUAAAAGCUACCCUGGGGAUAACAGGCUGAUCUCCCCCAAGAGUUCACAUCGACGGGGAGGUUUGGCACCUCGAUGUCGGCUCAUCGCAUCCUGGAGCUGAAGUCGGUUCCAAGGGUUGGGCUGUUCGCCCAUUAAAGCGGUACGCGAGCUGGGUUCAGAACGUCGUGAGACAGUUCGGUCCCUAUCUGUCGUGGGCGCAGGAAAUUUGAGAAGAGCUGUCCUCAGUACGAGAGGACCGGGAUGGACGCAUCAAUGGUGGACCAGUUGUCACGCCAGUGGCAUAGCUGGGUAGCUAAAUGCGGAAGGGAUAAACGCUGAAGGCAUCUAAGUGUGAAACCCACUUCAAGAUGAGAUUUCCCAUUGCGCAAGCAAGUAAGACCCCUUAAAGACGAUAAGGUAGAUAGGUCAGGAGUGUAAGCAUGGUGACAUGUUAAGCGGACUGAUACUAAUAGGUCGAGGGCUUGACCGA